rnacentral:rRNA from 1 species
AAUUUAUCCUGGGCUACACGCGGGCUACAAUGGGUGGGACAAUGGGUAUCGACACCGAAAGGUGAAGGCAAUCUCCUAAACCCAUCCGUAGUUCGGAUUGUGGGCUGCAACUCGCCCACAUGAAGCUGGAAUCUGUAGUAAUCGUGUCUCAAAUGGCACAGUGAAUAUGUCCCUGCUCCUU